GGGGUCGACUGGUUUUGACGGUGUGAGGGGGCGCGUGUAAGCACGUCGGGAGUUGAAAGUACCUCCUGUUAAAAAUGCUUUCAAACAAUAAUUGGCGAAAGAAACUACGCCCUAGCUGCCUAAGAGAAACUCUUGCAGUUAGUGUCCCGCAGGCCCUCUGCUCCGCCGGGUUUGCAUACGGGGCAUCGAAACGCUGAGCUAGUCUGAGUAGAGCUGUGAUACUCAGGCGAAACUAAGCAGCUAAGGUUAGGCCCAGGUUCUUUGUGCACCUUACCUAACCCUACAAUCCAAGCAUAAAUAAGCGUGUAGAAAGCACGAUGUUUUCCAUGUCCGGACGAGGGUUCGAGUCCCUCCGACUCCACAA
rnacentral:tmRNA from 1 species